UUUAACAUCCGGUCAAUUUAUGUUUGCUGGUUGAAGAAUAUUUUGUUUGAUUAACGAGGACAAUGGAUACAGAAUUAGAUGAACAGUUAGAAGGGACUGGAAGCGGAAUUGAAGAUGAUGAUGAAGACUUUCCCACUGAGUGGACUGUAGUUGAUGAUGCUGGUGAUGACAUGCUAUCAUCUUCAGAAGACAGCUCUGUAACCACAAAGAAAGUUGACAGUUCUGACAAAAAGGACAAGUCAUCAAGUAGUAGACACAGCAAAGAAUCUGCAAACAGAAAGAAAGAUGAUGGAAGUUCAAAGUCAAAGAGAGAUGAUGGAAGUUCAAAGUCUAAACGAGAUGAUAAGAGUUCAAGGUCUAAGAAAGAUGAUGGGAGUUUGAAGUCCAAGAGAGAUGAUGGGAGUUCGAAGUCCAAGAAAGAUAGUGGGAGUUCAAGGUCAAACAAAGAUGAUGGGAAUUCAAAGUCCAAGAGAGAUGAAGGAAGGAGGACUGAAAGGUCACAGGCAAGUAAGUCCAAUGGCACCCACAGUCAUAGUAGACAGAAAUCGGUUGACAGAAAAUCAGACUCCAAUUCCAGAAGUAGGAGGCACGAUUCUCGAGAUCGGAGGAGUUCAAGAUCACAAGAUAAAAAAGCUGACUCAAGUUCUAGAGAUAAAAAGCAUGACUCUCAAGAUGAUAAAAUGUCUAAAGAGAGUACAUCACAUUCAACCAGUUCAAAAGUGGCAGAAACCAAUGAUGUUGUUCAGGUUGAUGGCAGCACUAAAGUUAAACUUGAAGAUAACGAGAAAGGUAAAAAUAAAGAGACGUUGAAACCGAAAGAGACUGAAGAAAAAGAUGAACCUUUGCCAAGUGGGUACCCACUGCCAAGCAUAUCUACAGAUUUGGUUUUGUUCACCGGCUACAAGCAAAGUACAAGAUGUCGUCUGGUCACUGGCGGAGCAGAGAAUCCUCCAGAGGUGAUCCCAUACCAUCCUACCAGUAAUACUCCAGGACGAAAAAUGAUCAAAUGGGGCAUGCGUAUUUAUCCCAUAUUUUGGGCAGACCUGACACAGAUAGAAAUGACGAAAGUGUUCAACAUUUGUGCACAUAUUGGCAUAUUUUUCUUUCAGUUUCCAAAGAAUCCCCCUAAACAUGGUGACAUAAGUCUCAUGCUACACCACCCAAAUCAUGUUAAAGAUAUUUUUCUGAAGCUUACGGAGAUGACAAUGACUGCACCAGAAUGCAACAUUUUCGUGAACAGAAGAAAAGAUGAUGGUACUUUUGAGACAGCUGAAGUAAAGUUCCUUCAUAAGAUAAAUCAAGACCUGAAUCCGAUUCCUCGCAAAGACCGAUCUACUGUAGAAGGAAAGGAAGAAAAUAGAACAAUUAAAGUACAGAAUAUUCCCGAAGGGACAUCAAAGGAAAUGGUGCAAGUGAUGUUUCCUUUAUCGGAAGUUGCUGAAAUCACAUUUAGUGGAUCGAGUAGGGGAGAAGUAACAGGGACAACUAUUGUAAAGUUCCGAAAUCCAGGCUUUGUGAAGCAGGUGAUGACUUGUUAUGAACACAUGAAAAUAGGGAGUAACAAACUCACUCUAACCUUUACUGGCAAACUCAUUGAUACUGAGAAGGAUACAGCAAAGAAGGAUACAGCAAAGAAGGAUACAGUAAAGAAGGAUACAGUAAAGAAAGUAACUGGAGAAACAGACACUAAAAAUCCUGUAAAGAAGAGUAGAUUUGACAGCCGAGGUCCGGUUCAUUCUAGUUAUCAUUCCACCAAUAAGAAUUCCAACCGAGGCAACCCGGAGAGGGACAUCAGUCGGUUGAGGCAGCAGAGAUGGGAGAUGGAGCGACGGGCGUUGGUGUUGAAACAACAGAACCUGAUGGUGGUGCAGCAGGUACAGGACAAAGCGAUCCUCGCAACAAACAUGAUGGCGUCUGGUGGAGUGUCAGGUAUUCUUGGACCACCACCUAUACCAAUGAACUUUGUUCUCCCAGCCUUACCAGAGGGUUUAUCUCUCGGAGAAAAACAGCACUUAAUGGUCAUCGAACAACAAAAACUGAAACUGCUCAAACAGAAUAUGCAGAUGCAACAAAUCUCUGACAAUGCACUCAGUCAGAUUCAGCAGCCUCUUAGAAACAAAAGUGAGCUUGACCUGGAAGACGAGUUUGUACGGAGAGUUGAUGGUAACCGUGGUGAUGUGGGUCAGUCGAGACAAGGGAAAGAGGAAAGGGAUGUGUGGCGGGAGGAACGAAACAUGAAUUUGCCUCCAGGGGAUCGGGAAGCAGAUGACAGAGACAGGUUUGAUCACAAAGACCGUCUGUAUUCUGACCAGCAACGGCAGUCUUCUUUUCAAAUGCCCCCAGAACGUGUACAGAAUGCUGAGGAUGUAUAUGGAUUGCAAAGAGAGAAACAAAAUGAAGAACUUGAAUGGGACAGGAUUGAUAGACGUCAGUCUGACCAAGAUGUACUCUAUGAAGAUAGAAUGAGAGAGACAGACAGGUUGAGUCCUAAGUGGACAAAUCGAGACAGAUCUAUGCCACGCCGAGAUUUGCAAGAUCGUGACAUGCCACUUCGAGAUAGGUCGAGUGGAGAUUUUCCAGAUCGUGAUAUGCCACUUAGAGAUAGGUCGAGUGGAGAUUUUCCAGAUCGUGAUAUGCCACUUAGAGAUAGGUCGAGUGGAGAUUUUCCAGAUCGUGAUAUGCCACUUAGAGAUAGGUCAGACAGAGAUUUUUCAGACCAUGAUAUGCCACUUCGAGAUAGGUCAGGCAGAGAUUUUCCAGAUCAUGAUAUGCAACUUCGAGAUAGGUCAGGCAGAGACUUACCAGAUCGAGACCUACCAGUCAUUGAUUAUGUCAGUAGAGAUUCUGAUAGGAUUCAGCAAAGAGGAGUACAAGAGAGUGAUUUUCAACAACAGAUGCAUGAAUUCAGUGAGCCGAGCUAUAGCGGAGUUGAUAAGGGUUCUGCUAUGUAUGGUAAGGUCGAGAACAGACAUGGCGGCGUCUCCCUGAAACGUCGGUUUGAAUCCGAAGAAGCAGUGUCAGCAAAGAGGUUGAUGUCUGGCAGCAGUAGCAGUUCGACUGGCUUCAUUCAAGGUGAUGGUGGGAUUACCAGACAGCCAGGGCUGUUUCAACCUCAACUUCAACCACUGGUGCAAGUCUCGGGGCAAAUGUCUUCUGCCAUGCCAACCUUCCCAGUGCAGCAGCCGCCACCGGCUACCAUGGCAGGCUUUCCAAUGCAAAAGCCGUCUGCAACCAUGGCAACGUUCCCAGUGCAACAGACAUCUGCUACCAUGGCAGCCUUAGUUCAGCAGCAAAUGUCUGCGCCCAUGGUAGCCUUUCCAGUACAGCAGCCGUCUGCUACCAUGGCUACAUUUCCAAUGCAGCAGCCAUCUGCUAGCAGGAGAACCUUUCCAGUGCAGCAGCAGCAGAUGUCUACACCUUUGACAGCCUUUCCAAUUCAGCAGCCACCUGCUGCCAUGGCAACCUUACCAGUACAGCCGUAUCUGGAAAAGAUGCCGAAUACGGAAACACAAAGAGCAUCCAAACCACCCAGACCACCUCAUCAGCUUCUUCAGAAGGAGCAGCAACAGCAGCAGUGGCAAAAAAACCAACAACAACAACAGCAGCAGCAGAAGCCACAACAAAUGUUCAAGCCAACGAAAAAGCAGAAUAAAUACCAACAGCAACAAAAACAGCAGAAAUUGAAACAACAACAGAAAGUGCAGCAGGAGCAACAGGAGCAACAACAGCAGCUGAAACUGCUGCAUCAAUUGAUGCAGAAACAACUGAUUCAGGAAUCGGGAAGAUUUUCACAGCAGUCAAAUAAUAGAUAAGAGACGUGAAAGACUCUAAGAACGGGUGAAACAGAAAGAUCAUGUCACUAAUUUUAUUCAUGUCUUCACAGAGAGACCAGAGUCGUUUCCAGUUUCAGUUUUGAAGCCCUCGACUAUAAAAUACAUUGUAUAUCUAUUAUGAUUCAUGAAAAUGAAACACAACUCUCAUUUUGGCCUGACAGGAAAGUUCAGGAAGACAGGAAAUGGAACAUUUGCCUCCAGAAUGAAUUGGUGUGGAAAUGUGAUGCCCGCUGUGAGAAGAAGGGUUGCGAAACCAAAUGAAGAUUUUAGACAUCUCUGUUUCUGGUUCUCGACUUAUAUAUAUAUUGUCCACGACUUGAUUUUUGUUAAGACUAGCCAUUGGAUGCAACCCUUGAAUGAUUUAUCAUUAUGUGGGCUAAAUCUAAUAGCAAACAACGAGUGGGAAGUAGUGUUUAUGUGAGCUAAGUUCUGACAAUAUGCUUGAAGCCUAAUUGGAUAGAAGCACAAAAAUAAGUAUAAAUGAAUAAAAUGAAGUUAUUUGUUAUUUUUGCAUGUGGUAUGCUACCACUCAUAUAACAUCAGAUUAAGAUGGCAUGAGAUGGAUAUCUCAAAAGGUUUGUGGUCAACCUAUCUUGAUUUUUUGUUUGUAUGGUAUUUUACCAAAUGACCACUUCCUUAUAAAAAUAGUAAUCAUGAAGUCCUCUUUAUAAAAAUAGUAAUCAUGAAGCCCUCUCAUUAUUGCAAUAUUAUUCACAGAAUAUAUACUGACAUAAAAUGUAGUGAAGUGCAUGUUAAAGUGAAUGGUGGUGUGCAACCAGAAGACUGGAUUUCAGUUUAAUAUUUUGUUACACAUUAACACACACACGGUGUGGACAACAAGACUGGACUUCAGUCUAACAUUCUGUCACACAUACACACACCAACAUACACACACACGGUGUGGACAACAAGCCUGGACUUCAGUUUAAUAUUUUGUCACACAUAAACACACAGGCACACACACACACAUAAGGUGUGGACAACAAGACUGGAUUUCAUUCUUGACAUUUUGUUACACAUACACACACCAACAUACACACGGUGUGGACAACAAGACUGGAUUUCAUUUUUGACAUGUCACACAUACACACACCAACAUACACACACGGUGUGGACAACAAGACUGGAUUUCAUUCUUGACAUUUUGUUACACAUAAACUUUGAGCUAAAUUUACGACGCCUGUUUUUUCUUAAACGCAGGCAUUUAAACAUUGUAAAUGUAUGUAGUUACACAUGUGUAAGACAUAAACAGGUGUUUAAACAUUGUAAAUGUAUAAAGUUGCACAUGUGUAAGACAACAGGUGUUUAAACAUUGUAAAUGUAUAUAGUUACACAUGUGUAAGACAUAAACAGGUGUUUAAACACUGUAAAUGUAUGUAGUUACACAUGUGUAAGACAUAACAGUCUUUGUAAAUUCGGCCCGUUAUGUAUGAAAAAUUACACAUCAUGUAUAUGAAAUUUGAUGGUUUCAGAUUGUAAAUAAAGAAUGUAUCUUGUGAGGAACUGAAUGUUGCUUUUUUUAUGAUCAUUGGUGUAUUUUUGAAAUAUUGUCACUUGGUGAAUUAAACAGUGAAUUUUG
rnacentral:misc_RNA from 1 species